rnacentral:rRNA from 1 species
GAGCGAACGCUGGCGGCAGGCUUAACACAUGCAAGUCGAGCGGGCGUAGCAAUACGUCAGCGGCAGACGGGUGAGUAACGCGUGGGAACGUACCUUUUGGUUCGGAACAACACAGGGAAACUUGUGCUAAUACCGGAUAAGCCCUUACGGGGAAAGAUUUAUCGCCGAAAGAUCGGCCCGCGUCUGAUUAGCUAGUUGGUGAGGUAACGGCUCACCAAGGCGACGAUCAGUAGCUGGCUGAGAGGAUGAUCAGCCACAUUGGGACUGAGACACGGCCCAAACUCCUACGGGAGGCAGCAGUGGGGAAUAUUGGACAAUGGGCGCAAGCCUGAUCCAGCCAUGCCGCGUGAGUGAUGAAGGCCCUAGGGUUGUAAAGCUCUUUUGUGCGGGGAAGAUAAUGACGGUACCGCAAGAAUAAAGCCCCGGCUAACUACGUGCCAGCCGCCGCAGUAAU